UUAGACUUUUGGAAUUAGUUUAUUUAGUUUGGAUCUUCGAUUUAACAUAGUGUAAAGAUGUGUUCCAAAAAGUCUUUGACAAUGUGAUUCUAAUAUUAAACGUUUUGUAGGUUUAAUUCUAUACCACUGUGCCGACUGCGGAAGAAAUUAUAAGUACUCUCAUUCUCUGACACGCCAUCAACGGUAUGAAUGCGGAAAAGAACCAGCUUUUAUUUGUGCCAUUAAAGGUUGUAACUAUAAGUGUAAACGCAAAGAUAACUUAAACGUACACGUGAGGUGCCAUAUAAAACACGGAUUUCCUGUAAUCAAAAACGAAAUGGAAUAACUGCUAAAAUCAGAACAGUAUCUUGUAAAAAAUGUAAGGAAUUGCAAGCCAUCGUGUGACCCAGUAAUGUAAAAGGUAUUAUCAAAUAAGAAUGGAGUAAGAGACUAAAACAAUCAGAUUUACACAUACAGUUUGUAUAAUGGAUCUUUGAUCACGUAUGUUCUAAGAAGCGGACAAGGACGCAGUGUUCUAUUUCAGUCGCUAGCGUACAAUCCAAGAUGUAUGGUAACUUGAUGCGUAUCUUCAUUGGUUUCAUUUUAUACCGAUUACCUUUUGUUGACGAUCAAAGAUCCAUUAUAUAAACAUGUAUACAGUCAUUUUUGUUUGAAUUGGUGAAACAUUCCAGUUAAAGUGACUUUAGUAAUUUCUAUAGUGCAAGUUAGUAAUUUUGUAAAAUUCCUUCUAGAAUGUAGACCGCAUGGUUUAAUGUACGUUACCAUGAACGUCAGGGCAAUCCGAAAAAUGCAUAGGUACUUUUUUUUUAAUCUGGGCGAUAGGUGUUAUGAUUACCAUUGUGAUCUUAUUUACCUACGCAGCAUAUUUUUAUUAAAUUACAAAUAAAUGUAAACAUUACGAAAAUUAUGUAAUGUGCAAGGUGCUCAUUGUAAACGUUUGAAUUCAUGGUUUAAUUUUAAAAUAUAUAUAUAUAUACAUAUUUAUAUUUUUCUAAUUAUGUACGUAAAUUGGAUUAAAUUAUUUGGUUAAUAAUGAAUCCAGUCUAUUACAAGGUGCAUUGUUUAGUUCAAUCAUUGAUUCGUCUAAACGCUAUCUUGAUUGUAAGUGCUUUCAUAACACAGUGGAAUAAUAAAAAUACUCCUGUCUAGGGUGAUUCAAUAUUUAGGAGUUAGAUAGGUAUACCACUCACACAUGACGAUAAAAUAUGUUUACUAUCUUCAUAUCGGUUUGUGAAUAGGUUAAAUAAAAAUGUUACCAUUGAAUGAAUAUUUGAAUUUAGAACAUAGUAUUUCUAACAGCGAUAUAUUACAAAUAUUCUGACCACAUGAAAAUGUGAACCUUAUUAAUACAAAUUUUAUUUAUGUAAUUAUUAUCGGGUUAUUUGAAAUUUCAGUGGCAAAUCAAGUCGUGUAUUUUAUAUUCUCCAUCACACUCUAACAAGGUCAUGUUUUUACUUCAGCAUGUCACUUACAUCUCACUUACUGUCCACUUGUUUUACGUAACGGAUCUUUGAUCAUAAUCGGUUUUGAUGGAAAAUUGAGUGAUAAAUAAUAACCACAAAGUUUUGUUCUAAAAUUUUCAAUAGCACUAUUUUCUUUGUUAAUUAUAGACGAGUCUAGUGAAGAGUAAGGUGACUUCGAA